rnacentral:lncRNA from 1 species
GUCUCUUUCCAGGAUGGGUUAAACAUAAAAAGGAUGAGAGAAUCUUAACGACAUGAGACAAGACUCUCCUCCAGUGAAGUAUAAAUAGGAGCGUGGACUUCCUGCUGCCCCUCAGCACCCACCCACUUACCGGACAUUCAUCCACUAAAUUGUUACCAAACAUCAAGGGAGCGGGCAAGGCAUUCCUGUCAUAGGCAAGGGAGGUCCUCCCACGACCCUGGGGCUUUAGAUCGUGAAAAAGAAUUCUAAGUCCCGAAGCCAAGUGGAUUUUACCUUUUGAACAGACUUUAAUUUGUGGAGAUUAUCUUUUUAAUUUAAAUUUAAUUACUGGGUAGUGGUUUUACCAGCUGUGUUGAGGUUGGUCGCUUUUUGUGGUUACUACAGAUGCUGAUGAAGGCCAAGGGUUCAAAUACUGAGCCUUCCUUAGCACCCAGAAGGUGAGGGUCGCAAGAACUGUCACUUCAAUCCCAAAUAAUCCUACUCCUGUUGAGCCUUUUUGCUCUGCUCGGGCCUUUCCCAGGGGAUGAAAUCAGAAAACAAUUCAUUUACAGUGCUUUUUUUAAAAAGUUUUUUUUUUUGCUUUCUUCAAAGUUAUACUUGUACAUGAUUUAGAGUUAAAUGUUCCAACAAGACUUCCCAUUCCCUCAAGGCAACCACUUUCAACUUUUAGCUGAUUCUUCGGUAUUUACUAUCACAGAUCUAAAUGACACGUUCACAUUUCUACUUCUCGGCUUUUCAGUUAGCCAUUAUCUGUUGAUUUCCCAGUAUGGAAGAUAAGGAUUUAGCUUUCUUUUGCACACUCCUCUGCACUUGCACCACAUAUCUACACUUUCAGUCCUUAAAUCUGCUACAGUUAUAACUUGCUCAUCCUGCCCAAUCAGCAGGAUGUCAUUGAUGUAACAGAUUAAUGUGAUGUUCUGCAGGAUGUCCAGAAGGUCCAGAUCUCUUCAGGCUAUUUUAUGACAGAGGGAAGGAAUGUUAACAUAGCCCUGGGCCAUACAGUAAUUGUGUACUUUCGUGUUUCAUGGAAUACCAGUUGUUUCUGAUCCUUUCUUAUGACUGGAAUAGAAAAGAAUGCAUUCACUAAAUCAACGAAGUAUGCCAAAUACCUGAGGCUGUAUUAAUCUGCUCUAGCAAAUAUGCCGCAUCUGGCGCAGCAGCUGCUAUCCGGCCUAACUGGUAAGUUUGCAGUAAUCUACUGCCAUCCUUCAGGGCCCAUCUAGUUUUUGCAGGGCCACAUGGUGAGUUAAAUGAAGCUAUGAUGGGAAUUAGUACCUCUGUAUCCUUUAAAUUCAUGAGUGGCACUAAUUUCUGCCACCCCUCCUGAGAUACAAUGUUGCUUUGAUUUCCUGUGCCAUGUUUGGCUAGGGAGGGGAGACAAUUUCAGAGGCUUCCACUUGGCCUUCCGCACUAUGAUAGCUUUUACUCCACAGGCAAAGGUCCCAAAGAGUUUGUACCAACUGCCAAAUAGGUCAAUCUCAUUAUACAUUUGGGGACUGGGGAAAUGAUCACUGGGUGGGGCCACAGACCCAAUGGACCCACUCUGAGCUGGACCUUGCCAUGACCCUAUUUAUUAACUGGCCUCUCUAUGCUGCCUUUCUAACAGAGGGCCACAAUGAUGCUUCUGGUUUCUGGGUUUCAAUGUUAAUUCAACAGUCCUUGAAAUGUCUCGGUAUUCCCACUUCUCCAAAGUACAAUUACCCCAGUAAAUGACCAAAGAUACUUUGGGGAUGGACUAGGGAAAUCAUUCCCAUUUAUACUUGUUGAAGUGUAGUAGGGUCCUUCCUCCUGAGGACCUCUUCAGUCAGUGGGUUCCAGGUCUUUAAGCUGGCUCAGGUGUGGAAACUGAUUAAGGAAUUGUGACUUUAUUGGGUGAGAGCCCUUAGCCUCUUGGUCCUUUAUCCUUGAUUUUUUUCUGCUGAUACAAACUAAUAGGACCUUUGUUGGCUGCCUAUCUAUUUUGCCCCUAAGAACACCAAGUUCUAUUAACCACUUCCAUAACUGUGUGGGUUAGGUCCACACUAUAAUUUGUAACCCCCUGGCUUCUCAUAGUUGAGCACAGCCACCUGGCCUCUAUCGUUCUGGGGUCCUGUCAUCCCCAUUACUAUCAGCAAGUCAACCGCCACCUUCAGCCAUGACUUGCAGAGAGCCACCACUGAACUUUUUAGUGAUGCUCACGCCCUUUGCACCAACGCCUUCCUUAGGGCCUUGGUAAUAGUGCAUCCUCCCUCUGGGCCAUCCUUUAGAACAUAACCGUCAUAAUCUUCGAGCUGUGCAUAGUACCUCCGUUCCAUAUGCCCACUUCCCUGAGCCUUUUUAUCCCUUCCUGUCCCACCUGCCUGUCCUUGUACUUCUAGCAUUUCCAUUUCAUUCAGCAAGGGUCACUGUUUUUUUUCAUGCUUCUAGGAGCCAUGAUAGUAGUGAGUUCACACCAACUGUUGGGGUCCUUGCCAGGAUGUUAAAUCCUGUAUUUCGGGAGUGCUCCCACAUCAAUAGAAUUUUCCUAUCCAAUUUUAUGCUCUGGCCUCCUUGAUUAAGCACCCUCUGAAUCCAGUCCCAUGCAUGCUCUCCAAGCUCCUGGUGGUACAUGCUGGCUAGGUCUUGCAUCUUCUUUGGGGAAUAGUCCUUUACCUCCAUCAUCAGGCACAACACCUCCCAACUAGGUUAUGCUAUGACUUAACCCUAAUUAUAGGCCUAGUGGCCAGAAGCCUAGUUGAGGGGGUGGUGGCUGCUAGAGAAGAGGAGAACACGGUGCCUUUCAGUUAGAAGCCUCUACCCAAUCUUCAAGCAAGCAAAAGUGAUAGCUCUUAGUAGGGAGGAGUGAGCCACACUGGAGGCAUCAAAGGAGCCUGAGGAAUCAAAAUCUUCAGGAGCACCACCCAGAUGUCCUCGCCAUGUCUCAGAAUGCUAAGUUUCCUCAACCAUGGCCCUGACCUUGGCACGACAACCUGCCUUUUGGGGCAUUUAACCAUCUUUUAACCACUCUCAAGUUCUGGUCUUGGUGCUCAGCAUUCUGCUUUUCCCUGCUGAUGAGAACUUUGUGUGCAACAGAGGUGCUCUGGCUUUCACAUCUGACUUGCAAUUGCUGAUUACCCACGCUCAGCUGUUCAUUAUUCUUCUGUAACCAAUGGAGCUUGGCAAUAGCCAUCCAAUUCUGUUAUCCUUAUUGCUGUUACUUCCACCCUGUGUCUUGAAUGCCUGAUCCAUCACACCUCUACUGUUCCCUUCCACCUGGUACACCAUCCCAACUGGACCAUCACCAUGUGCCAGAGGCUGGCUGUGCCUCACCUACAACCAGCCAGGUGGUCCAUACUCCAGCUUCCAGCUUAUUGCCUGCUUUCUACCAGUUGUCACAGGUGGGGUUCUCAGGAAGCAGACACUGGGACAGAGCAUAUAAGAUGUGAAAGGAAAGGAGAGGAGGCAGGACUGGACAGAGAGAGAAGUCAAACUCCAAUAUAGGUCCAACAAAGCUUUGCCCAGCCUGCCCAGGAGCUCUGGAGUGAACACAGCAUAUUGGAAGUGCCGGGAGGUGGGCCAUAAUGGCUGAGCCUUUAUAUUCAGCCUGCCCAGGAGCUCUGGAGUGAACACAGCAUAUUGGAGGUGCCCGGAGGUGGGCCAUAAUGGCUGAGCCUUUACAUCCAGCCUUGCUCAAUCACCCAGUGUAGGCUGCCCUGGAAGGGGCAUGACCUUGGGCAAGGCUAUUCUCUGCAGCUGAAGCAGACCCCGACGGAGCUGACAACUGGAGGUUGAUAUUACGACUCCUAAUUGGACAUAUGGGCACCCAGAAUAAAAUUGUUAAGUGACUACGUUCUGACCCAUUGGUUAUAAGCAAGAAUGGUGUGUACAAAUUCCAGGAAGUAUCCUUAAAGGAAAGAUUAUCUUCUCCCUUUCCUCUUUCCUGCUUAUUAGAAUGUAGACAUGAUGGCCAGAACGUAAGCAGCCAUACUGGACCAUAAUGUAGAAGCCACUUGUUGAGAAGAGAGGUAAGUAGGUCCCUGACGGUCAUGGAAUCACUAUACUAAUCUAGACUGCCUAGCUCUGCACUGUUUAUGUGCUGAAGAAAUCAAUGUUCAUGUUGGCUAAGAACACACAAAAAAAUUCUGCUUCUUAUAAAUUAACCUAUUCCUAUCUGAUGCAGAAUUUGAUCCCUGUAAAUUCAUGCUGCAUAUAACAUAACCUUAAAAGAAAUGUGGUAUUGGCUUAGUGGAAACAUUUGGGCAGUGGGUGGUAAAGACUCAGAUAUCGCAAGAUGGAAAACUGAUGACCCUUGUUGCCCAGUUGCAAAAUAUUCGUAGCAUGAAGGAAAAUAAUUGGAAAAAUUUAUAAACUUGGUAUUUGCUGGCUUUUCCUUGCCACUUUCAGCAAAGUUCUCUGAGAGAUGAACUCAGGCCAGGGCUAGCCAAUCUGCAAGUAGAGAUGGAAAGGAAUACAGCUUUGCUAAGAGGAACUCUGUCUGUGAUGUAAGUGGAUUAAGAAUCCCAUAAUUUGGAGCCUUAGGUGGCUGAAAAAAAUCCAACUACUUCUAUACCCCUAAAUCAAAGCAUGUAGAAACAGUGCCUGUGAACAAAAGCCUUGGAAGGAAAUAUGCCUGACAUGCAGCCAUGCAAGGCUGACAAAUAUGGCUUAAGAAUGCUGUCAGUCUGUUAAAUCCCAAUGUUCAGAUGCCCCCAAGUUAGCUGUCAUUAAGAGAGAGGUGGCUGUGCAGCACACAGAAGCCAGGAAAUAAAAGAUAAAGUCUUUGGGCUUAAACACUGUAUCUAGGCAAGAAUUACGGCCCUAACUUCUCCCUCACAGAACUGACUAAAAGCAAAAGGAUCAGAAAUCUUUUGAAUUUCUGCACGAAUUACAUUGCCAGAGAUACAGGAAGACUGAUAUGCAUCCAUGGGCUUCUCCCGUCACUGCUGACAAGCACAGCUGUGGAGGUGUUUGGUACUUCUGAAGCAGCGUUAGGAGUCUCAGCAUCCAGCCACCAGCUCUGUGGGCCCUGACAGGCAGGACGCAGGACACAGGACACAUGCUGUCCCGGUACAGACUGCAGUGGGUGCGGCGUGCAGCUUUCUGAGGGGCAUGAUUUCCUAGGCAUUGCAGGAGCAACGCAGCUCAGAAGUCAUCAUUUCCUGAUUGCAGAAGGGUCACUGCUCCCUUGGUGGCCUCAUUCUGUGAAGACUGGGACUUAUUUCUGAAAAUCAAAUCCUAGUCUGUUUAAUCGACACUCUUAAGUAUUCAGUACUCUCUGUGCUUAUACCAAGGGAAUAGAUUCUAUUCUCU